UGAGUACGAGACGCUAAGGCGUUGAAGCAGUCUAUGUCAGACUUCCAAGAAAAGCUCGUAAUGUCAUAAGCAAAAAAUGCCUGUACCAUAACCGACACAGGUGGGUAGGUAGAGUAUACUAAGGGGCGCGAGAUAACUCUCUCUAAGGAACUCGGCAAAAUGACUCCGUAACUUCGGGAGAAGGAGUGCCUUAUUUUUAUAAGGUUGCAAUAACAAGAUCCAAGCAACUGUUUACCAAAAACACAGGUCUCCGCUAAGUCGUAAGACGAUGUAUGGGGGCUGACGCCUGCCCAGUGCCAGAAGGUUAAAGAAGUUGGUUAGUUUCGGCGAAGCUGAUGACUGAAGCCCUGGUGAACGGCGGCCGUAACAAUAACGGUCCUAAGGUAGCGAAAUUCCUUGUCGGGUAAGUUCCGACCCGCACGAAAGGCGUAAUGAUUUGGAUACUGUCUCGGAGAGGGGCUCGGUGAAAUAGACUUGUCUGUGAAGAUGCGGACUACCUGCACCUGGACAGAAAGACCCUAUGAAGCUUUACUGUAACUUGAGAUUGAAAUUGGACUUUAUUUGCGCAGUAUAGGUGGGAGACGUUGAGAAUAUUCUUGCGGGAAUAUUGGAGUCAUCAGUGAGAUACCACUCUUGUAAUGUUAGAUUUCUAACUUUGUAUCAUUAUCUGGUCAAAGGACAGUUUCAGGCGGGCAGUUUGACUGGGGCGGUCGCCUCCCAAACGGUAACGGAGGCGCACAAAGGUUUCCUCUGAACGUGUAGAAAUCGUAUCUAGAGUGUAAAGGCAUAAGGAAGCUUGACUGUGAGACCUACAAGUCGAGCAGGGACGAAAGUCGGUCUUAGUGAUCUGACGGUGCUGAGUGGAAAGGCCGUCACUCAACGGAUAAAAGUUACUCUAAGGAUAACAGGCUGAUCUCCCCCAAGAGUUCACAUCGACGGGGAGGUUUGGCACCUCGAUGCCGGCUCAUCGCAUCCUGGGGCGGUAGUACGUCCCAAGGGUUGGGCUGUUCGCCCAUGAAAGCGGUACGCGAGCUGGGUUCAGAACGUCGUGAGACAGUUCGGUCCAUAUCCGGUGUAGGCGUUAGAAUAUUGAGAGGAGCCUUCUUUAGUACGAGAGGACCGAGAAGGACAUACCUCUGGUGUACCUGUUAUCGUGCCAACGGUAAACGCUGGGUAGCUAUGUAUGGAGUGGAUAACCGCUGAAAGCAUCUAAGUGGGAAGCCCACCUCAAGAUAAG
rnacentral:rRNA from 1 species